UCGUCUAUAUACGUAUAGCAUAUCAAUAAGCGGAGGAAAAGUAACUAACAAGGAUUCCCUUAGUAACGGCGAGUGAAGCGGGAAGAGCUCAAAUUUGAAAUCUUCAAGGUUCUACCUUGACGAAUUGUAGUUUAAAGAAGUGUUUUCUGUUAGAGGAGUAGGCAAAAGUUCCUUGGAAUAGGGACAUCAUAGAGGGUGAGAAUCCCGUAUUUGGUUAUUCUUUCUAGCUUUGUGAUACACUUUCAAAGAGUCGGAUUGUUUGGGAAUGCAGUCCAAAAUGGGUGGUAAAUUUCAUCUAAAGCUAAAUAUUGGCGAGAGACCGAUAGCGAACAAGUACCGUGAGGGAAAGAUGAAAAGAACUUUGAAAAGAGAGUUAAACAGUACGUGAAAUUGUCAAAAGGGAAGCGUUUGACACCAGUGUUGUUUUUCCGAAAAUCAAUUAAGAGUGGCUUGAUUUUGUGUUGUAUUGACCUUAUCAGCUUUCUUCACUCUUUUUCGAGUCUUUCUUAAUGCACUUUUCGGUUAACAAGUCAACAUCAAUUUCUUUUGUUGUAAAAGGGUAUUUGGAAGGUGGCUUUCUUUUCGGAGAAAGUGUUUAUAGCCUUUUACCUCUACAAUCGGAGAGAUUGAGGUCUGCAGCGUAGAUCCUUCGGGGUUAGAUACACUUGUGCUAAGUUAUAGCUUUUCAUAGACAACUUGUUGACUAUGUUUAGUCAUGUAGCUUACCCGCUUGUGCUAUUUUACCUACGCUUAGGAUGUUGAGUCAUCACACAUCUCU
rnacentral:rRNA from 1 species